AUGGGUCUCGGCGGCGACCACGACGCGGCGGUGGUAAGCACCCUUCGGGAGGCUGCGGUCAUGGUGUGGGAGGAGUCCAGGCGCCUCUGGGGCAUCGGCACGCCCAUCGUCGUGGCCACGGUCAGCAUGUACGUCCUCGGCUCCGUCACCACCAUCUUCGUCGGCCACCUCGGCAACCUGCCCCUCGCGGCCGCCUCCAUCGGGCUCUCCGUCUUCUUCACCUGCUCCUUCGGAUUCUUGCUUGGCAUGGGUAGCGCUCUGGAGACGCUGUGCGGGCAGGCGUUCGGCGCCGGCCAGGUGGCCAUGCUCGGCGUCUACCUGCAGCGCUCGUGGAUCGUCCUCAUCGUCGCCGCGUUCCUCAUGGUGCCCUUCUACGUCUUGGCCGAGCCGCUCCUCCUCGCAAUCGGCCAGGACCCCGUCGUGGCGCGCGAGGCGGCACGCUUCGCGCUCUACAUGCUCCCCGGCGCAUUCUCCUUGGCCGUCAACUUCCCCACCGCCAAGUUCCUCCAGGCGCAGAGCAAGGUCCUCGUGCUCGCCUGGAUCGGCGUCACGGGCCUCUGCUUCCACGUCGCGCUCACCUACCUUCUCGUCACCGUCCUAGGGUGGGGCUUCCGGGGCGCCGCCGCCGCCUACGACCUCACGCUCUGGGCCAUCGCGCUGGGCCAGGCGGCCUAUAUCAUCGGCUGGUGCAAGGACGGCUGGAGGGGCUGGUCCAUGGCGGCGUUCAGCGACAUGUGGGCGUUUGUCAAGCUCUCGCUCGAGUCCGCCGUCAUGCUCUGCCUUGAGGUUUGGUACCUCGGUAUGAUCACCGUCCUCACCGGCCACCUCCAGGAUGCUCAGAUUGCCGUGGACUCGCUUGGCAUCUGCAUGAAUAUAAACGGGUGGGAGUUUAUGACCUUCAUUGGCCUAAAUGCUGCUAUCAGUGUUCGAGUCUCCAAUGAGCUGGGCUCUAACCGUCCAAGGGCAGCUAUGUAUGCUGUCAUCGUUGUCGUCGUCGAGUCAUUGCUCAUUGGGAUACUAUGCAUGGCCCUCGUGUUGAUGUUCAGAAAUAACUUCUCCAUCAUCUUCACUAGCGAUUUGGAGCUCCAGCACGCCGUCUCCAAGAUUGCCGGACUGCUUGGUUUGACCAUGGUGAUCAACAGUGUGCAGCCGAUUCUUUCAGGGGUUGCUAUUGGGGGAGGAUGGCAAGGCCUUGUUGCAUACAUCAACCUAGGCUGCUUCUAUAUUUUUGGAUUGCCCUUGGGCUAUCUUCUCGGCUACAAGUUAAACUAUGGAGUUGGGGGCAUUUGGGCUGGCAUGCUUUGCGGGAUUGCACUUCAGACAAUGAUCUUACUCUUCAUAGUGUGGAGAGCAGAUUGGAACGCAGAGGCCGCCCUAGCUUCAAGUCGUGUGCAAAAGUGGGCCGGCACAGAUGGAACAAGACCUCUCUUGGAAGAUAAUUAG
rnacentral:rRNA from 1 species